AGAUUAGAUAUCCCAUUGCGAAAGCAAUUAAGACCCCUGAAAGACCAUCAGGUAGAUAGGACAGAGGUGGAAGUGUGGUAACACAUGUAGCUGACUGUUACUAAUAGGUCGAGGGCUUGAUCUA
rnacentral:rRNA from 1 species